GAUCGGUUAGCUCAGUUGGUUAGAGCGCAUCGUUGACAUCGAUGAGGUCGCAGGUUCGAGUCCUGCACCGAUCA
rnacentral:tRNA from 1 species